AUAUAUCAACCUCUUCAGCUUUUGCUUGUCGAGAUGGUUGGAUGUGGGGGGUGUUUUGCUGGCCUUUUUUGAGGUCAGCUCCCCUGAAAUGCAUUAGCGGAACAAUUUGUCGACUCCGUUCAUUGGUGUGAUAACUAUCUACGCUAUUGAUGGGUGAAGGCAGAGUUCAGCUCCUAACAGUCCAUUGACUUGGACAACUUUUUUAUUUA
rnacentral:misc_RNA from 1 species